ensembl:lncRNA novel transcript, antisense to CDH13
GCCAUCCUCCUUGAAAUGCAGUUUGCAUGUUUUUUCUAGGAUCCUUGCUUUUCUGCAGAACAAGAGGCUAUCCAUUUCAAAGAUGAACUUUGAAAAUGCUGAAUUCUAGAAUGAUUGGCAGUUGGCUCUCUGACUUCUAGACGCAACAGAUUGGGGUUGGAACACAGAUAAAGGAGAUUUAAAAAAUAUUCUAAAGUUCAUUGUGGCGACGGUUGCACAAUUCUGUGAAUAGACUGAAAACCAUGGAGUGCUACACUUUAAAAGAGUGAAUAGUAUGGACGGAAGUGCAGCAGGUACUGUUCUUGUGUGCUCACAUCCUUGUGCGUCACCAGAGGCUUUCUGGAAACCCCUGUAUCUCUGUACCUGAGGGCUUUCUCUAGCCACCAGAACAUGCUCAGCCCCUUCCCUUCCACAGGGUGAACUGGAAGUUCCGGGAAGUCGACUUCCCUGAAAGCAGCUCUGAACUAAUUACAAACAGGAGUCGGAAGAGCAAUACCCAGCUUCCUCACUGAUUGUGUGGUACAACUCAAAGGUGUGUUCUACACUGUCCCCAGACGUGCCAAGGGGGGUGGCAUCCCAGGUGCCCACAGAGACAAUCUACCAUUCAGUGCAUCCUGGUGUUGCCUUCCUUGCCUUCCCCAGCUGACUUUCUUCAUUCCCUACAGUGCUUCUUGGCAUUACCUCCCAAAUAAACUAUCUGAGCCCAUAAAUGUCUGAGUCUGCUUCUGAAGGAGACCAACCUGAAAUAAGGGAUAAUCAGAGUGCAUUCCUCCUAGGUCUAUUGGAAGGAAGAAAUAAAAUAUUACAUGCAGAGCAUUUCAGCACUAUGUCUGGCCACUUAAUAAUUGUUACCUACUAUCAUCAUUAUUAUUGUCGUUGUUAUUACUAAAAACAAAUAAUUGACUGGAAUUGUUUAUCAGAUCUCGGCCCAUCUGGAAGCCUGUCUUGGCUUUCCUACAUAUGUGAGACAUGCCAAGCUGGUAUUGUGCUUAUUAUUUCACCACUGAGCACCCAGUUCAUUAUUUUCCAUCCAAUUGACUCCAGGUUUUCAAAGACUUUAUCUAGCAAACUGCACAGAUUAAGUAAUAAUUUAUUUUCUCACCCAUGUUUUAUUAAUCAAAGGCACAUAUAACUGCCAACCAGAGCUGCUGAUCAGAAUUAAAUUACUAAGUUCACCAUGCAGAGCUAAUAUCAUUUCAGUCAAAAGCAAAACAUCUUGAUGUUUUUGUUUGUGAAGCUUUAUCAUUUGUAAAAGUAAGAUUAUAUUAGAUUUUCUGAAAUAUUUAAAAUAGCUUGCAGACCUUCAUUGCCACCAUCAGGGUCUCCUAAGAGCUAGAAACCCCAUGUUGGUCACUGGUGAUCUAAUAAACCAAAAUUCAUUAAGAAGUGUAUCUGUUUUUGCUAUAAAAAUUGGAGCAAUAAAACCUUUAUGGCCAUAUUUGGCAAUAACCUUUCUGUAUAUGAUGAGAAAAUAAAGGAUAAAUGGAUAUUUA